GCGAGAUUAGGGAAGUGCUGCUGUAAGCGCUGACGGUGAAACCUAGGAAAGGAAAGAAAAGGAAAGGAAAGAAACCUCAGCAGCAGAGGGAACCUUUCUUCAGUUUGAUGGCUUAGAGUUCCUUCUCUGUAUUUCCACGAGUAUCGUUCCCACCUCUGCCAACUUUUUGUCAUUUCUGUGCGACAGCAAAGAGUGAAUCCAAUUACGGGUGUCACGAUCACUCAGGAUGGCGGAUGGAGCGGAUGAUGCGGGGAUCUGGACGAUUGAUUGGUUGUUUGCGGGGUGAUCGCAUCGAUUAACCGGGAAGCACUUCGACCGGCAGUUUCUAUCAAUCAACGGCCAAAUCAGUCUGCAAAGAGCUGAAGUUAAACUGAGGGGGGAAGUGAGACUUUAUCUCUGAUGCUAAAAGCAGACCCAAGAAAUGAGUCUUCCUGUAGUCUCUGAAAAAUAC
ensembl:lncRNA